rnacentral:rRNA from 1 species
UACGUAGGGGGCAAGCGUUGUCCGGAUUUACUGGGCGUAAAGCGCACGUAGGCGGUGGUGCAUGUCAGAUGUGAAAGCCCUGGGCUUAACCUAGGAAUUGCAUUUGAAACUGCGCCGCUAGAGACCGGAAGAGGGUAGUGGAAUUCCCAGUGUAGCGGUGAAAUGCGUAGAUAUCAGGAGGAAUACCGGUGGCGAAGGCGGCCUUCUGGACGGUGACUGACGCUGAGACGCGAAAGCGUGGGGAGCAAACAGG